GGGCUUGACAUCCCACGAAUCCCGCCGAAAGGCGGGAGUGCCCGCAAGGGAGCGCGGAGACAGGUGGUGCAUGGCUGUCGUCAGCUCGUGUCGUGAGAUGUUGGGUUAAGUCCCGCAACGAGCGCAACCCUCACCCCUUGUUGCCACCAGGUCACGCUGGGCACUCUAGGGGAACUGCCCCGGUCAACGGGGAGGAAGGCGGGGACGACGUCAAGUCAUCAUGCCCCUUACGUCCUGGGCUACACACGUGCUACAAUGGCCGGUACAGAGGGAUGCAAGACCGUGAGGUGGAGCUAAACCCAAAAAGCCGGUCUAAGUUCAGAUUGGAGUCUGCAACUCGACUCCAUGAAGGAGGAAUCGCUAGUAAUCGCGUAUCAGCACGACGCGGUGAAUACGUUCCCGGGCCUUGUACACACCGCCCGUCACACCACGAAAGCCAGUUGUACUCGAAGUCGCUGAG
rnacentral:rRNA from 1 species